rnacentral:lncRNA from 1 species
GCCUGCGCCGCCCAGCCCCGCGCCUGGCGUGCCUCCGCCGUCGCCUGCGCCGCCCAGCCCCUCGCCUGGCGUGCCUCCGCCGUCGCCUGCGCCGCCCAGCCCCUCGCCUGGCGUGCCUCCGCCAUCGCCCGAGCCGCCCAGCCCCGCGCCUGGCGUGCCUCCGCCGUCGCCCGAGCCGCCCAGCCCCGCGCCUGGCGUGCCUCCGCCAUCGCCUGAGCCGCCCAGCCCCGCGCCUGGCGUGCCUCCGCCAUCGCCCGAGCCGCCCAGCCCCGCGCCUGGCGUGCCUCCGCCGUCGCCUGCGCCGCCCAGCCCCUCGCCUGGCGUGCCUCCGCCAUCGCCCGAGCCGCCCAGCCCCGCGCCUGGCGUGCCUCCGCCGUCGCCCGAGCCGCCCAGCCCCGCGCCUGGCGUGCCUCCGCCGUCGCCCGAGCCGCCCAGCCCCGCGCCUGGCGUGCCUCCGCCAUCGCCUGAGCCGCCCAGCCCCGCGCCUGGCGUGCCUCCGCCGUCGCCCGAGCCGCCCAGCCCCGCGCCUGGCGUGCCUCCGCCGUCGCCUGCGCCGCCCAGCCCCGCGCCUGGCGUGCCUCCGCCGUCGCCUGCGCCGCCCAGCCCCGCGCCUGGCGUGCCUCCGCCGUCGCCCGAGCCGCCCAGCCCCGCGCCUGGCGUGCCUCCGACGUCGCCUGCGCCGCCCAGCCCCGCGCCUGGCGUGCCUCCGCCGUCGCCUGCGCCGCCCAGCCCUGCCCCCGGCGUGCCUCCGCCGUCGCCCGAGCCGCCCAGCCCCGCGCCUGGCGUACCUCCGCCGUCGCCUGCGCCGCCCAGCCCCGCGCCUGGCGUACCUCCGCCGUCGCCUGCGCCGCCCAGCCCUGCCCCCGGCGUGCCUCCGCCGUCGCCUGCGCCGCCCAGCCCCGCGCCUGGCGUGCCUCCGCCUUCGCCCGAGCCGCCCAGCCCCGCGCCUGGCGUGCCUCCGCCAUCG